rnacentral:rRNA from 1 species
GGGAUUGUGCCAGCAGCCGCGGUAAUACGUAGGGUGCGAGCGUUGUCCGGAAUUACUGGGCGUAAAGAGCUCGUAGGUGGUUUGUCGCGUUGUUCGUGAAAUCUCACGGCUUAACUGUGAGCGUGCGGGCGAUACGGGCAGACUGGAGUWCUGCAGGGGAGACUGGAAUUCCUGGUGUAGCGGUGGAAUGCGCAGAUAUCAGGAGGAACACCGGUGGCGAAGGCGGGUCUCUGGGCAGUAACUGACGCUGAGGAGCGAAAGCUYGGGGAGCGAACAGGAUUAGAUACCCUGGUAGUCCACGCCGUAAACGGUGGGUACUAGGUGUGGGUUUCCUUCCUUGGGAUCCGUGCCGUAGCUAACGCAUUAAGUACCCCGCCU